rnacentral:rRNA from 1 species
GCUCAGGAUGAACGCUGGCGGCGUGCCUAAUACAUGCGAGUCGAGCGAACAGAUAAGGAGCUUGCUCCUUUGACGUUAGCGGCGGACGGGUGAGUAACACGUGGGUGACCUACCUAUGAGACUGGAAUAACUCCGGGAAACCGGGGCUAAUGCCGGAUAAUAUUUAGAACCGCGUGGUUCUAAAGUGAAAGAUGGUUUUGCUAUCACUUAUGGAUGGACCCGCGCCGUAUUAGCUAGUUGGUGGGGUAAUGGCUUACCAAGGCAACGAUACGUAGCCGACCUGAGAGGGUGAUCGGCCACACUGGAACUGAGACACGGUCCAGACUCCUACGGGAGGCAGCAGUAGGGAAUCUUCCGCAAUGGGCGAAAGCCUGACGGAGCAACGCCGCGUGAGUGAUGAAGGUCUUCGGAUCGUAAAACUCUGUUAUUAGGGAAGAACAAAUGUGUAAGUAACUGUGCACGUCUUGACGGUACCUAAUCAGAAAGCCACGGCUAACUACGUGCCAGCAGCCGCGGUAAUACGUAGGUGGCAAGCGUUAUCCGGAAUUAUUGGGCGUAAAGCGCGCGUGGGGGGGUUCCUUAAGUCUCAUUUGAGAUCCCACGUUUCAACCGUGCUCCCCCAUUGGAAACUGUAAGACUUGAGUGCAGAACAGAAAGUGGAAUUCCCUGUAUAGCUGAGAAAUGCGCGUAGAUGGGGAGGAACACCAGUGGAGAAAGCCCUGUUUCGAGCCCGAAACUGACGCCGAUCGUGCGAAAGCUAGGGGAUCAAAAAAAAGCGAUUUGAACCCCUGGUAGUCCACGACAGUCACACCAAGAUUGCAUAGCUUAAAGGGGAAUUCCCCCUUUCUUACGCAAGGUUGAAACUCAAAGGAAUUGACGGGGACCCGCACACGUGCUGGAGAAAUCCCAAGGUAUCCCAGGCAUUCGAAGAACCUUACCAAAUCUUGACAUCCUUUGACAACGAAAUGAAGGAGCCUUCCCCUUCGGGGGACAAAGUGACAGGUGGUGCAUGGUUGUCGUCAGCUCGUGUCGUGAGAUGUUGGGUUAAGUCCCGCAACGAGCGCAACCCUUAAGCUUAGUUGCCAGCAUUAAGUUGGGCACUCUACGUAACCCGUGAGCCAGGUAACCGGAGGAAGGUGGGGAUGACGUCAAAUCAUCAUGCCCCUUAUGAUUUGGGCUACACACGUGCUACAAUGGACAAUACAAAGGGCAGCUAAACCGCGAGGUCAUGCAAAUCSCAUAAAGUUGUUCUCAGUUCGGAUUGUAGGAUAGUACAGUUAGCAAAAAACUUUUAAUCGCUAGUAAUCGUAGAUCAGCAUGCUACGGUGAAUACGUUCCCGGGUCUUGUACACACCGCCCGUCACACACGAGAGUCUGUACACCCGAAGCCGGUGGAGUAACCAUUAUGGAGCUAGCCGUCGAAGGUGGGACAAUGAUUGGGGUGA